AUGACUUCGGUUAUAAUGAAAGUGGCGCACGGGUGCGUAACGCGUAUGCAACCUACCCUUUACUGGGGGAUAGCCCGGAGAAAUUCGGAUUAAUACCCCAUGGUAUUUACAGAAGGCAUCUGAAGUAAAUUAAAGAUUUAUCGGUAAGGGAUGGGCAUGCGUGACAUUAGCUAGUUGGUGAGGUAACGGCUCACCAAGGCAACGAUGUCUAGGGGUUCUGAGAGGAUGAUCCCCCACACUGGUACUGAGAUACGGACCAGACUCCUACGGGAGGCAGCAGUAGGGAAUAUUGGUCAAUGGGCGAGAGCCUGAACCAGCCAUGCCGCGUGCAGGAAGACAGCUUUCUGAGUUGUAAACUGCUUUUAUAUGGGAAGAAAAAGGUCCUGCGGGACAAAUUGCCGGUACCAUAUGAAUAAGCACCGGCUAACUCCGUGCCAGCAGCCGCGGUAAUACGGAGGGUGCAAGCGUUGUCCGGAUUUAUUGGGUUUAAAGGGUGCGUAGGCGGAUCUUUAAGUCAGUGGUGAAAUCCUGCAGCUUAACUGUAGAACUGCCAUUGAUACUGGAGAUCUUGAGUAUACUAGAGGUAGGCGGAAUUUAUGGUGUAGCGGUGAAAUGCAUAGAUACCAUAAAGAACACCAAUAGCGUAGGCAGCUUACUGGAGUGUAACUGACGCUGAGGCACGAAAGCAUGGGUAGCGAACAGGAUUAGAUACCCUGGUAGUCCAUGCCGUAAACGAUGAUUACUCGAUGUUGGCGAUACACUGUCAGCGUCCAAGCGAAAGCGUUAAGUAAUCCACCUGGGGAGUACGCUCCCAAGAGUGAAACUCAAAGGAAUUGACGGGGGUCCNCACAACGGGGGAACAUGUGGUUAAUUCGAUGAUCCCCAGGAACCUUCCUGGGCUCCAAUGGNAGGGAAUUUCCAAAAUGGUGAUUUUCGACNUUNUAAGGGCUCAUGGUUGCCCCACCUCGGCCCGNGGNGUGGUAAUCCCCACCAGCCANCCCUCUUNNUUCCCCUGUUUNUGGGNUUACGGCUCCUGCCACCNAAAGAGGGGGAGAGNAAUNUUUGCCUUCCCGGGUACNNCUNUAAUGGAAAAAAGUUCUCCU
rnacentral:rRNA from 1 species